rnacentral:misc_RNA from 1 species
ACUUCACUCGUCCCCUGACAACAACAGAAGUUCGUCCCGUUAACAAGGUAUGGAGAAGAUGACAAGAUAUGAAGAGGUGGUUCACCAGGCCCGAGAAGCCUUCCACUCCGGUCGAACUCGGGAUAUUGAGUUCCGCAAGAAGCAGCUUAAGGCCCUCAAACGUAUGUAUGAGGAGAAUGAAUCGAUGUUCUGCGCAGCCCUUGCCAAAGAUUUACAUAAGCCAAAACAGGAAAGUGUGUUGCUUGAACUAAAUCUGUUAAAAGAUGACAUCACACACAUCCUUGCCAGGCUUGAUGAAUGGGCUAAGCCAGAAAAGAUCGCAUCAAAUUUGGUGACCAUGUUUGACACUCCUUUGAUAUACCAUGACCCCUAUGGUGUAGUGCUGGUUAUGGGAGCUUGGAAUUACCCACUUCAGCUGCCUCUUCUUCCUAUGUCAGGUGCCAUUGCUGCUGGAAACUGUGUGAUCGUCAAACCAUCUGAGGUUUCACCUGCCACAGCUCAGACAAUUGCUGAACUUAUUCCAAAAUAUUUGGAUAGUGAUUGUUAUCAUGUGGUAUGUGGUGGUAUUCCUGAAACAGAAGAGCUCCUCAAACAGCGAUUUGACUACAUCUUCUACACUGGAUCACCCCAAGUUGGGAAGAUUAUCAGAGAUGCAGCCAAUAAACAUCUCACCCCAACUACUCUCGAGCUGGGGGGAAAGAGUCCUGUCUACAUUGAUGACACUGUGAACAUGGACAUCGCAGUUCGUCGCAUUAUGUGGGGAAAGUGCAUCAAUCUUGGCCAAACCUGCAUUGCCCCUGACUAUAUCCUGUGUUCAAAGGAAGUUCAGGAAAAGUUUGUGAACAAAGCAAGGGAGGUACUGAAGGAAUGGUAUACUGAAAACCCUCAAAAGUCUCCAGAUUUGUGCAGGAUUGUUACAGAUAAACAUGUCAGUCGUCUAGAAGAGUAUCUCAAGGAUGGGACGGUAGCUGUUGGCGGAGAAGUGGAUAAGGAAGACAAGUGGAUUUCCCCGACCAUCCUUGUGGAUGUUAACCCUGAGAGCAAGGUUAUGACUGAAGAGAUUUUUGGCCCCAUCAUGCCCAUUGUAAAUGUCAACUCGGCAUAUGAGGCUAUCAACUUCAUCAAUAAAAGGGAGAAGCCACUAACUCUAUACAUCUUUACGAAGCACAAAGAUAUUCCAAACCUCUUUUUAGCACGCACAUCUAGUGGAAGUUCCUGUGUGAAUGACACUGUGAUUCACUUGUCAGUUCAUGACCUACCAUUUGGUGGAAUUGGAAACAGUGGUAUGGGAGCUUACCACGGCAAAGCUUCUUUCGACACUUUUACUCACCGUAAAUCCUGCCUUAUCCGGAACUACAACAAGAUUGCCGAUGCUAUUGGAGCCAAGCGUUACCCACCAUACAGUGAGGGUAACAUGAAGUUCCUCUCCAAUAUGCUCAAAGAGCGAGCAGCUCCCAGCUUAAAGUACCUGCCAUAUCUUCUUACGUUUGGCCUUGGUGUUGCUUCCGUGUUUGCUGUAAAGGAAAUUGCCAAGGGUGGUUUACAAGAAUGGUUGAAUCGUAGAGUUGGCCCACUUUCAGCUUUUCGACCAUCCAGGUCUUAGAACUUUCAUAGAAGUUAUUCCUCACACUUAAAAAUAUUGAAUUAAAAAGUCAAGCAGUUGGAGCAGAUGACGAUUAGGUGAAAUCGGGAAGGCCAGUAUUGUGUUUAUAAUGGAACGUGCAUAAAUACUGUGUAAGGGAAUUAUUUAACUAUAUAUUAAAAAUAUCAUUUAGUGCAAGGGCCUUCCAGCCAAAGGGAAGACAGAUGAUAAUUUGUCUGUAAUACUGCAGACCAUAUAUAUAUUUUUUCAAAUAAAUUGUUCCAAAUAUGCAGAAAAAACAUCUACUCUGUUUUGUAUGGAAACUAUGUCAGCUUAUAAUCACAGCAUCAUGUUUCCUCUUUAAGAUUUAAUUAUUUUGUUAAGUAUUGUAAAGCCUUUUUUUAAGAUUUAUAUCAAAUUAAAGAAUUUUAUGUGAAUGAAAUGUAUUUGUAAUGCUAUAUUUGUAACUCCUCAUCUUGCUUUGUCAGACCACUAGGGCAGUGAGGCUGUGUACAAAAUCCUCCAAUACCUUCAUUAUCUAUAUAGAAUGUAUACUUUAUAGCUCAUUGCAAUAUUAAUAUACCAGUGCCUUUAAAAUAUAUACUACACAUGUUCUGCAAAUGUAAUUUACCUGCAAGUGACAAACGUAAAACUAAUCUUGAAUAACAACAACAAAGCAUCAUAAAAUUGGUUACCAUUUAGCAUAGGAUUGUCAGUGAUUAUCAUUGUAUGCAAAUACCCCUGUGACAUCAUCUUUUCCUACUGGCCUAGCUGCAGAGGUUGGGUAGACAAACGAUCUGGACUUGUAAUGACCACUGAAAUUGGGGUUUUGAAAGGUAAAACAUCUUGUCCAACUUGCUGUAUGAGGAGUUAUGAACAUAGCAUAGGUUAAAUAAUUCCACAAACCUUGGAUCUGAUGCUUUCAAUGAGAAAGAAGGUAGUUAAGAGCAAACUAUUGACAGGUUAUAAAGAAAGACCAGACUCCAUUGCACAAUGUAUUCUUCGUUUUGUUAUUGUAUCCAUUAUAACUUUAAUCUGCAGCUCAUUCAACUCACUGUUCUGUUUGUUACUUUGAGUAGUCGAGAGGGAAUAAUAUUUAGAUGUAAUUGAUAGAUUUUGCAUGUAUUUUCAUAUCUAUAAUUGUUAUAGUAGCCAAGAUAAACCAAGAUAUUGUAGCCAUUCAACGGUUGUCCAAAGGUCUUUCGCAUAGUUUUGGGCUUUUUUGUUGAAUUUUUUUAACCUCUGAAGUCAGAUGGUGAUUCAUCAAUUAUAUUUGUACCUUUUGGUAUUCAAGGCUAUCAGGCAGUUUUCCCUUUUUUUUUCUAAUGGAAGGUAGGGUGUGAUUAAGUAAUUUUGGUAUUGUUUGGCAAGUUUCUUCCAGAUACACAUCACUUGAAAUCUGCAUGUACACACACUUCAUGGCACUUUUUACAAGUGAAUGAAUGCAAUAAGUACAAAAGAAUUCUUGUGAUUGUAGCACAAACACCUCCAUUUUCUCAAAUAAAUUCUCUCUCUUCCAUUUUCA